rnacentral:misc_RNA from 1 species
AUUUAUUAGAUACUAAGAAUUCAUUUUAGAGGUGUCUAAAUGGUUGCAAUCGACAACCAUAUUAGGAUUGUAUUCUCAUUGGUUUUGCAAAAUAACAUUUCUUGCAUCUAUGGUUCAUAUCAUGGUCAGCCAGGAAACAGUGAUGGUUAAACAAUCAAAACUGGGAUGUGUUUCGGAGUUGUAUUUCUAUAUUUUCCCAGGCAGCAGAAAUGUUUUGUUUCUAAAAAUUUUUUAUUUCUCAGGCACCCAAUGUUUGCUGCGGUUGG